ensembl:lncRNA OBSCN-AS1 OBSCN antisense RNA 1
GCAGAUGUACACCGCGUCGUCGUCGGCCGAGACAUUGCGCACGGUCAGGCGGCGCUCGGUGCCCUCCUCCUCGAUGCCGUACUUGGCGCUCGCCCACAACCGCGUCUCCUCCUUGAACCACGCGGCCUCAGUGGACGGCUGGGGCACCUCACAUAGGAACGUGGCCGACUCCUUCUCCCGCACCUCCAGAUCUUGCAGCCGCUUUUUGAAGGGAACCGCGGGCUCUGCCAGGAGAGAAGACUGGAACGGACACCUGCAACCCUGGAUUCCACGACCGGACAGACGCGGGUGGGAAACGGCAGACCGCAAGGGCGAAAGGACCCAGGUGCACGGGUUGCGGAGGAGCCUGGGCCCGCGCGCCCCGCACCCAGGAGCUCACCGCGCACUACGACCAGCACAGAGCUGUAGGUCUGGCCCACGAGGUUGGACGCCGUGCAGGUGUAGAGGCCGCGGUCCGACUGCUUGCAGAAGAGGAUCUUGAGCACGAAGUUCUCCUGCGCGUCCUCGUACACCACGUGGCGCCGGCCCUCGGUCACCAGCUGGCCGUCCUUCUUCCACACCGUCUCGGGCUUGGGCUCGCCGGUCACGUAGCAGCUGAGGCGCGCGUGCUUGCCUUCAGUCACCGUGCAGGUGCCUGCUGUCCCAGCUACUCAAGAGACUGAAGCAGGAGGAUGGCUUGAGCCCAGGAGGUCAAAGCUGCAGUGAGCUGCUUCGCCCCAUCCCUGAUCCAGUGCCAGGCCUCUAUGUGUCCUCACAGCGUACCUCAGGCUCUUCCGGGCAAUGGCCAACAUCUCUCAUGUGUCCUCAAUCAGAAGGAGGGUGAGGGGUCUCUGGAGUAACGGUUAUGCCAUUCUGCAGCCUUAUCUCAUGACUGAUCACUUCCAAAAGCUCACGUUCUAAUCCUGUCACCUUGGGGGUGAGCAUUUCAACGUGUGAAUCUCCGGGACACACAUUCAGUCCACAGCACCAGGGAGAAAGGAAAGGCUGGAAGGAGAGCCCACUCCCCCACCAGGAGCUUGGCCCUGAGCUGCCCCAGCCAUGCAGAAGUGUGUGUGCAUUGUGUGUGCUCGAAUACGUGCCCCACCCCCUCCCGGACAGGGCCGUGGAGGGUGCAGAGAAGAUGGCUGUGCGGGCCAGCCCCUUGCAGGGCCUCCUGGACCUGGGAGAAGCAAUGCCCCCACAGCCUCCAGGAGUGGCCUGCCCUCCUGACCCUCUUCACUGCUGCCUGCUCCGCUGCAUCUCCAAACACCACUGCCAGCCUUCAGGCUGGAUUUUCUGCCUCCUUCACAGGACCCCUGUUGUUCCUUAUUUCCCUGCAACGUAUUUGUUGAAGACAGUGGGAUAUUCACACUACAGAGCUUCCGGAGGCACUGUGCCCAGGGUGUCCUUCACACCACGGGAGGCCACAGGAUGCAGUGGCUGGCCAUGGACCUUGCCUAUUCCUGGCUGGAAUCCACUGCAAAGAGAACUUUCAUGGAGCUGCUGUCUGUUCAAAGGGGUACAGGUGGAGGAGGAGCAGACACAAUUUCCUGAGGAAAGCAAAUGUCACUGUGUCCCUUGAGUUGCCAGCUUCCACAGGGAUGUCCCGCCAUGAGCCCUCCUCCCAGGGGCUUUCACAGCUGGGUGGGCUGGCAUCCUGGGUGCAGUUUAACUGAAGGGGGUGUUCUCACAGCCAUCUCCCAAGGCCUGGGGGAUGGUGGGCCCGGAGGCCUCAGACCUGCACCUGCUGCCCAGGCGAUGGGGUGGCUGGGCCCCGGGUGCCCACAAACUAUAGGCAAAAAAAACUGUAAGUCAGUCCUGCAGGGUUUCCUGAACAUUUUAUGAUCCCCAAGUCGUAUCUGAACAUGUCAAGAAUCUCUGGUGCCUUGGCUUGGGUGUAAAGAUGAAGUUCUUUCCUCCUCUGUAUUCCAGGAGGAAAGAGGGUUUUCAUUCCCUUCUGAAUGUUAGGAGGGAAGGCAUUUUCCAUCCUUGACCAGCUUGUAGAUGACACACAUUCAGCAAACGCACAUCCCAGCAGCACCGAGAGAACACACAGGUGUGUCACGCUUUUGCGUUCAUAAGGCCUUUUCAUGUCAGUAUCUUAUUAGAUAUUCCCAAACAAGGGUGUUUUCUCAUCUUAUAGAAGAGAGGCCUGAGGCUCACAGGGUGAAAACAAUUUGCUUAAGCCUGCACAGCAGCUGUGCUGGCAACGUUUCUCCCGGUAUAAAUGAGAAGCAGCCUUUGUGGCCACAGAGAUGUGACUGCUAAGUGCAUCGUCCCACCCUGAAGGAGAUUCUUCCUCAACAAGAGGACAUUAGUGCAAAGACUGAUGAAGUCUGUAGUUUCGUGGGUUUUUUUUUUAAGCAUAAGGGGUUAAAUAUUAUGUAAUUAAGUAAUAAGGCAGUUGUGAGGAUGCAACUGCCAAAAGUUUGAAAAAAGCUGCCCAGAUGGAAAUCUGCUUGCAUUUGUGCAAGCAGAUAGGUGAGGGAUUUUUACUGUACUGCCGUGUCCCCUACCUGCCCCAGCUUUAUUGAGUUAUAAUUGACAAGCAAAAAUUGUUUAUAUUUAAAGUGUACAAUGUGAUGUGGCCUUUUUGUUUUGUUUUGAGACAUAAUCUUAUCACCCAGGCUGGAGUGAAGUGGCGCAGUUUAAACUGCGCAGGCUCAUCAUCCUCCUUCCUCAGCCUCCUCAGUAGCUAGAACCACAGGUGUGAGCCACCAUGCCUGGCUCAUUUUUUGAUUUUCUUUUUUUAAGAGACAGGGGUCUCCCUGUUUCCCAGGCUGGUCUUGAACUCCCGGGCUCAAGUAAUCAUCCCGCCUCAGCCUCCCAAAGUGAUGGUGUUACAGGCAUGAGCUACUGUGCCUGGCCAGAAAUGGUAAAUUAUAAUUAAAGGCUUCUGUAAGUCAUGCUGUCA